GCCGAGCCUGGCCCGGGCGACGGCGGGGGCGCUGAAGGCGCUCUGAGUCCCCGGCCACGCGGGGGCGCGGCU
rnacentral:tRNA from 1 species